rnacentral:sRNA from 1 species
AGGAAAGGCCUUUCAGGCAUCCUCUCCUAUAAACUUUACGGGCUGGCCUUCGGGCCGGCCCUUUUUUUAUUCCUUC